rnacentral:lncRNA from 1 species
UCCAGGUUCUUUCCUCCUGGGAUUCUCUGGCAUUGUGCUCGUUCAUAAAACUGGACAUCGCUCCUCUUCACGAGGCCACAGACUCAAAACAAUCCUCUGGAGGCAGUGCUGGCUGGGUCCCCCUGAGGGAGAUGCUCCCACUCCCACCUCAACACCUUGGCACUCCCUACACUGGGGCAUUGAGUCUUCACAGGAACAAGAGCCUCUCCUCCCAUUGAUUCCAGACAACGCCAUCCUCUGCUGCAUAUGCAGCUGGAGCUAUGGGUCCCUCCAUGUGUACUCUUUGGAUGGUGGUUUAGUUCCUGGCCUGCCUUGAACUUUGUACUCAGAAGCAAAAUGGUAGUCAUCAAUAACCCUGAUGUUAUGGUCUGUUGUUGCAUUUCAUGUUGUGAAAAGAAAAACAGGACGGAUACAAGAAAUAAAACGUCUAGGAUUGUCAAUUUC